UCCGGUUUGUCACCGGCAGUCUCAUUAGAGUGCCCAACUAAAUGUAGCAACUAAUGACAAGGGUUGCGCUCGUUGCGGGACUUAACCCAACAUCUCACGACACGAGCUGACGACAGCCAUGCAGCACCUGUGUCCAGGUUCCCUUUCGGGCACAACCACAUUUCUGCGGCCUUCCUGGCAUGUCAAGGGUAGGUAAGGUUUUUCGCGUUGCAUCGAAUUAAUCCACAUAAUCCACCGCUUGUGCGGGUCCCCGUCAAUUCCUUUGAGUUUUAACCUUGCGGCCGUACUCCCCAGGCGGUCGACUUCACGCGUUAGCUUCGUUACUAAGGAUGUCAAAUCCCCAACAACCAGUCGACAUAGUUUAGGGCGUGGACUAC
rnacentral:misc_RNA from 1 species